AAAAAUAAAAUAUUCAUUAGGGUAUUUUUCUAUUUAAAAAGUCAUAGCUUUAAAACAAAAUAAUCCAUUUCAGGCUGUAUAACAAACAGGAGUUUUGAGUUUUUCUACCAUUUUAAAACAACAAACCUACAAACUUUUUUUAAAUUCACCUCAUUUUGCAAAAUAAAAACCAAACGGCUUUUAAAAUCAACUUUUAAAAUCCAGGUUAAAACACAUUUUGCACACUAAAAAAACAACACCCUCUUAGUUUGAAACACACCGUUACCAUCAUUUUGGAGCCAUAUACUUAAAAAAAAUCCCACCUAUGUUUUACAGAGAGAGAGCGAGAGAGUUUAAAACCCACACGCAUUUAAAAGCCAAUUUCAGAAAGUUAUCUUCUACUACAGGAUAAAGUGUUGCAGGCACAUGCUUGUUCUGUCCCCCUCAAUGUGUCUUUGGGCCUUUGGAUUAAAGAACAAGCAAAAACUGUUAGUUAGUAUUAGCCCCAAAUCCCUAUACAACCUGUGUAGUACCUGAAGUUAUUAAGCAAAACUACAGUUAAAAUGGUUUUUACCUUGGCCUGGUGAUGAAAUGCAAUUUAAAGUUACUAGUUCUGUGCUAAACAGAUCACACUGCAAUAAACAUAGGCACCAUUAUUUACUAAGACAGCACAGCCAACGAGUGAUAUUAUACAAUAUAUAUUUUCAGAGUUUAAAACAGGGAGCAUACCUCCUCUUGCAGCCCAGCAGCCAUUCAAGAGUUUCUGUUGGAAAAAAACAGUCUCCAAAAUACCUGAGGUUUUCAUACCAUCCAAGCCCUUUGUUUCAAAAGGACUUCAAAAUAGUAGCUAGCAGGUUGAUUUGAUCGCUACAGCUCUGAAAUACUAGAGACUUAAGGACUUUAGGCCCCUUCCUAACAUUCCCUUUUGUGAGCUGGGGUGUGGGAAUUAAGCUGUCUGCACAACUGAGGUGCUUUCGGCUACAUUUUUUCUUUUAGUUAAAAUACAUUUUUCUGUAGGGCCUUCUUACAGUAUUAAACAUAAAUCCCCAAUCCUUAAUGUAACUGCUUCCCCCCCGUCCCAAGUGGGGACCUUUUGCAGAUAUCAAUACAUCUCUUUGGGGCUUGUUUUUUUAAAACGUUUCUUUCAUGCAUAAAGUUUGGGGUGGGGGUUGAAAUAAAAUGGUUGUAUCACAGCCAUAAUAAGCCCCCUAGAGCUUUUAAAUGUUUGAUUGUCUUUAGAGCAAAUGCUUCUUCUAAAGCAUGGUGAAGGUUUGUGACCCCUUGAAACAUUUCAGUUUUGGUUUAGACCCUUGGGGGGGGUUUGUUUGUUUGUUGUAAAUAUAUUAAUUUAAACUUUUAAUGGCUUUGAAUUGACCCAUAGCAUCCAACCAACUCCUGGGUCAUAUUUAAACUGUCCAAUAGCACUCUGUCAACUCCAGGGGUUAUAUUUAAACUGUCCAAUAACAUCUGCAAAUUCCUGAGGUUUUAUUUCAUUUCAUAUUAAUCAAAACUCACCCACCCACCUCCCUUACUAUGGGUGCACACCAAUCAAAUUUAUCCCUAUGGCAACAACGAUAAGUAGUCACAGUUACCUUCACUAUUCAGUGGGGGUGUGGUUAAAACCAUUCAGUUCAACAGGAUGAGUCAACUCUAUUGUACUCAAACACAUGUCUGAACCAUCCCUGUUUGUUUUACUGUUGUAAGCAGAGUCAGGGUGAGAUCUACCCUGACAUUUGGUGGUGAGUUGUGGAAAAGAAUGUCAGGGGUUGAUCUCGUUUGCACAGGCACACCCACCCCGCCUAGCAUGAGCCCACAGUAGCCCAAAUGGUCACUUUGGCUGCUGUGGAAUCCCCAGUUUCUCUGUUAUUGAGGCAGGAAGAAUAAAGUCUUGUUAUCCUGAUUAUGUGAAUCAAGGACAGUGGAACUGUACUUGGCCUUUUAUGACGGAGGGACUCGCCAUCAACUAAGUAGCACUCGCUAGGCAAGGGACAUGGGUUCCAAAACUCAGCAAAUUGAGAGAGGCUGGGGACAGGUAUUUGUACCUGGUGGGCCCCAGACACUAAUUCCAUCUCUUCUUCCUGUCUCCACUGUGAAAUGUUAGUGCUAAUUUUGAUUCCAUGAAGAGUCUGAUUACAGACUGCAGAGCUGAAUUCACUUUGGGCUAAUGGUGAACCAGCACUGAGUCCUCCCUACUACUUAACACAGUAAGUGGUGAUUUUAGCUUGUAGUAGGGGAGCCUCAGUGCCCCACUGGCUGAGGGCUUGAGCCAGUUUUGCAUUGUGUUAUUGGAAUGGAGUUCCUAGCAACUGAACGCAGCUCUUGUUGCUGCCAACUCUGAUGGGCAGAAUGGUUACACUGUAAACACAUUUUUAGGAUUUUUCUCCUCCCACAACAUACAUUUCAGCUUUUUGCUGUAAAUGGGUCUUUUUUACACAAAACCACAAAAGUUAGAUUCUCACAAACCAUUUUUUUUAAUUUAAAAGACAUACAGCUUCUUGAAAACAAACCAAGAGGCUCCAUUAAAACUUUUAGCUCACUUAAGGGCCAGAGACCUUCUAACAGAAAUGCAUAUAGUCACAGAGCCCUUUUCAAUAGAUGUUUUUUUUUAAAUUUACAUAUUUAAAUUUACAAAUUUACAUAUAAAGUUGAAGUCCAAAUCACACAGUCAUGGUGCCAUUGGGCUGGGGCAUCUAUGACAUAGCCCUCACAAUCUUCAAAAAGCUUUUCCCUAAGACAGUUAUUAAGAACAGCAUAAACAGCAACGCAUACGAUUGUCCACAUACAUUUUUACACUCACAAUGUGGCACUGGCUCAGCGAGUUCCAUGCCAAACCUUCUCCUAAACUCCUUAUAACCUUCAUCCUCGAAGUCCUCUUCAACAAUUUUUAGCGGCGUUCAGCAAAAACAAGGCGGGCCCGGUUCAUCUUUGCUGCUUGAUGCAACGUUGUCCAGGGCCUCCGGGUCCUCUAGAAAGGCAUCAUCGAGCUGUCUUAGACAAGAAACAAGUGUAAGUUCUCACUGCUUGUUAUUUAGAUUUACACAACCCCAGGUUCCUAACCUCAUUACAUCUCAUCAUCAACUGUCGCUUCUUAAUCAUUCAUUUACCUGAGCGACGUCUUUUCCGUUCAGCUUGUCCGCCGGUAACUCCCCCAAGCAAUGAUCGCCUUCCUCCUCCAGGGUGGUGGACAACGAGAGGCCACCAUGCUCAUUGGUGUGUCUCAUGAAUGGUUGGGCUUUGGGUUCAGGUUCUGGCGUACCCAUCAAUGGCUCGGCCAAAGGAAUCCCCUCGGCUGUUCCCUCAACUUCUUUGGAACUGUUGCUGCUGUAGCACUUUCUCCACACGAGUCCAAAGGUCCGCGGGGCUAAAACAAAGUCUGAAGUUCUCAGGGGGGUGGUAAAGGAGUCCACGUUUCCUCUCAGCCUUUCCACAAUUUCUGAAACAUGUCUUCUUGGUAAGAGAUCGCCUUCUCUGUCCAGCUCUGGGACUUGUGGGGUGAUGGUGAUGCACUCUGAUUGGCAGAGGGCAUUGGAAGGAGUUCUUAGAGGGGUCACACAACCCUCUUCUGGGUGGUCACCCCAUCCCAGAACCUGCCCUGUUUUGGUCAAAUCUCCUUUCGGGGCAGUCCUCUGCAGCCGAAACCCAUCGCGACUGGUAGAGGGUGGUGGGACGAGUUCCUAGAGGGGGUCACACGAACCACUUCUGGAUGGUCACCCAGCCCCAGAAUUCCCCCCAAUUGGUUUAAUCUCCUCUCAGGGUCCUCUCUAGUGGCUGAAGUCCCUCCUGAUUGGUAGAGGGCAGUGGGAGGAGUUCUUAGAGGGGUCACACAAACCCCAGAACUCCCCCUGGUUGGUUAAAUCUUCUCUCGGGGCGUUCCUAUCGGGGCAAAAUCUAUCCUGAUUGGUAUAGUGGAAGGAGUUCUUAGAGGGGUCACAUGACACACCUUGCUUCCAGUCAUGUGUCUGCCUUGACCCCAGAAGUAAUACCCCCAUGGGGUGGGGCUUCUGAUGACCAGCGGGCAGGGCUUAUUGGGUCAAGGGAUGGGGUUAAGUUUUGAUUGACAGUAGGGCCCUUAUACUCCUCGCUGCUGCUACCCAAAAUUGGAAGAAGACAGAGGCAACUAUAAUACUGGGCAGUAUUCGCCGUUGUCCUACUGCUCAGAUGCUGUGCUGGCCAUGUAUCUCACAAACAAGAUCAUAUGUAAAUAACCCAGCUCCAGAUUUUGUAUAUACUGUGUACAUAUUUCCUAUUAAACUGUUUUUGAAGUAUC